UACGGAGGGUGCAAACGUUGCUCGAAAUCAUUGGGCGUAAAGCGCACGUAGGUGGCCAACUAAGUCAGACGUGAAAUCCCUCAGCUUAACUGGGGAACUGCGUCUGAUACUGGAUGGCUUGAGUUUGGGAGAGGGAUGCGGAAUUCCAGGUGUAGCGGUGAAAUGCGUAGAUAUCUGGAGGAACACCGGUGGCGAAGGCGGCAUCCUGGACCAACACUGACACUGAUGAGCGAAAGCCAGGGGAGCAAACGGG
rnacentral:rRNA from 1 species